rnacentral:rRNA from 1 species
AGCUCCAAUAGCGUAUAUUAAAGUUGUUGCAGUUAAAAAGCUCGUAGUUGGAUUUCUGAAUUGGACCCAUCUGUCCUUGUCGGCUUGUCUGACUCGAGUACGUGGGUGGGUCGGUUCAUUUUUUGUGAGGAUGCUUGGCUGGCAUUAAGUUGUUGGCCUUGUGGACUUGCAUCGUUUACUGUGAAAAAAUUAGAGUGUUUAAAGCAGGCGUUUGCUUCUGAAUACAUUAGCAUGGAAUAAUAAAAUACGACUUUGGUGGUAUUUUGUUGGUUUGCACACCAGAGUAAUGAUUAAUAGGGACAGUUGGGGGUAUUCAUAUUUCAGCGUCAGAGGUGAAAUUCUUGGAUCGCUGAAAGAUGAGCUUCGGCGAAAGCAUUUACCAAGGAUGUUUUCA